AGGGCUAUAGCUCAGUUAGGUAGAGCACCUCGUUUACACGUCCGUAUAGCCCUA
rnacentral:tRNA from 1 species